rnacentral:rRNA from 1 species
CUCGUGAAUUCAUCUCCGGGGGUAGAGCACUGUUUCGGCAAGGGGGUCAUCCCGACUUACCAACCCGAUGCAAACUGCGAAUACCGGAGAAUGUUAUCACGGGAGACACACGGCGGGUGCUAACGUCCGUCGUGAAGAGGGAAACAACCCAGACCGCCAGCUAAGGUCCCAAAGUCAUGGUUAAGUGGGAAACGAUGUGGGAAGGCCCAGACAGCCAGGAUGUUGGCUUAGAAGCAGCCAUCAUUUAAAGAAAGCGUAAUAGCUCACUGGUCGAGUCGGCCUGCGCGGAAGAUGUAACGGGGCUAAACCAUGCACCGAAGCUGCGGCAGCGACGCUGAUGCGUUGUUGGGUAGGGGAGCGUUCUGUAAGCCUGUGAAGGUGUGCUGUGAGGCAUGCUGGAGGUAUCAGAAGUGCGAAUGCUGACAUAAGUAACGAUAAAGCGGGUGAAAAGCCCGCUCGCCGGAAGACCAAGGGUUCCUGUCCAACGUUAAUCGGGGCAGGGUGAGUCGACCCCUAAGGCGAGGCCGAAAGGCGUAGUCGAUGGGAAACAGGUUAAUAUUCCUGUACUUGGUGUUACUGCGAAGGGGGGACGGAGAAGGCUAUGUUGGCCGGGCGACGGUUGUCCCGGUUUAAGCGUGUAGGCUGGUUUUCCAGGCAAAUCCGGAAAAUCAAGGCUGAGGCGUGAUGACGAGGCACUACGGUGCUGAAGCAACAAAUGCCCUGCUUCCAGGAAAAGCCUCUAAGCAUCAGGUAACAUCAAAUCGUACCCCAAACCGACACAGGUGGUCAGGUAGAGAAUACCAAGGCGCUUGAGAGAACUCGGGUGAAGGAACUAGGCAAAAUGGUGCCGUAACUUCGGGAGAAGGCACGCUGAUAUGUAGGUGAAGCGACUUGCUCGUGGAGCUGAAAUCAGUCGAAGAUACCAGCUGGCUGCAACUGUUUAUUAAAAACACAGCACUGUGCAAACACGAAAGUGGACGUAUACGGUGUGACGCCUGCCCGGUGCCGGAAGGUUAAUUGAUGGGGUCAGCGCAAGCGAAGCUCUUGAUCGAAGCCCCGGUAAACGGCGGCCGUAACUAUAACGGUCCUAAGGUAGCGAAAUUCCUUGUCGGGUAAGUUCCGACCUGCACGAAUGGCGUAAUGAUGGCCAGGCUGUCUCCACCCGAGACUCAGUGAAAUUGAACUCGCUGUGAAGAUGCAGUGUACCCGCGGCAAGACGGAAAGACCCCGUGAACCUUUACUAUAGCUUGACACUGAACAUUGAGCCUUGAUGUGUAGGAUAGGUGGGAGGCUUUGAAGUGUGGACGCCAGUCUGCAUGGAGCCGGCCUUGAAAUACCACCCUUUAAUGUUUGAUGUUCUAACGUUGACCCGUGAUCCGGGUUGCGGACAGUGUCUGGUGGGUAGUUUGACUGGGGCGGUCUCCUCCUAAAGAGUAACGGAGGAGCACGAAGGUUGGCUAAUCCUGGUCGGACAUCAGGAGGUUAGUGCAAUGGCAUAAGCCAGCUUGACUGCGAGCGUGACGGCGCGAGCAGGUGCGAAAGCAGGUCAUAGUGAUCCGGUGGUUCUGAAUGGAAGGGCCAUCGCUCAACGGAUAAAAGGUACUCCGGGGAUAACAGGCUGAUACCGCCCAAGAGUUCAUAUCGACGGCGGUGUUUGGCACCUCGAUGUCGGCUCAUCACAUCCUGGGGCUGAAGUAGGUCCCAAGGGUAUGGCUGUUCGCCAUUUAAAGUGGUACGCGAGCUGGGUUUAGAACGUCGUGAGACAGUUCGGUCCCUAUCUGCCGUGGGCGCUGGAGAACUGAGGGGGGCUGCUCCUAGUACGAGAGGACCGGAGUGGACGCAUCACUGGUGUUCGGGUUGUCAUGCCAAUGGCACUGCCCGGUAGCUAAAUGCGGAAGAGAUAAGUGCUGAAAGCAUCUAAGCACGAAACUUGCCCCGAGAUGAGUUCUCCCUGACUCCUUGAGAGUCCUGAAGGAACGUUGAAGACGACGACGUUGAUAGGCCGGGUGUGUAAGCGCAGCGAUGCGUUGAGCUAACCGGUACUAAUGAACCGUGAGG